rnacentral:rRNA from 1 species
AAAAGUAAAAUUAAUAUAAUUUUAAGAUAAGCUAUUUUGUUAUUGAAGCUGAUAAGUCUUAGGUUUAAACUAGGAUUAGAUACCCUAUUAUUCUAAGAUUAAAUUUAUUAUACUAGAAUAAUAAUAGUUAUUUUCUUGAAACUUAAAGGAUUUGGCGGUAAUUAAUCUUAUCAGAGGAAUCUGUUUUGAAGUCGAUAACCCACGAAGUAUCUUACUUAGGUUUGUAUACCAUCAUUAUUAGAUAAUUUUUAGAGAAAUAUUAUUACAAUUAAGUAAGUUUUAAGUAGAUUAGAUCAAGGUGCAGCUAAUAAAUAAGGAAAAAUGGAUUACAAUAAUAUUUUAUUAUUACGGAAUAAUUAUUAUGAAGGAGGAUUUGAUUGUAUAAAAGUUUAAUAUGUUUUUGAGAUAAGAGUUCUUGAUUAUGUACAUAUCGCCCGUCACUUUC